GGAGGAGGUCGGCUGGUUAUCGGGAGUUGGAGGGCUGAGGUCGGGAGGGUGGUGUGUACAGAGCUCUAGGACACCAGGCCAGUCGCGGGUUUUGGGCCGAGGCCUGGGUUACAAGCAGCAAGUGCGCGGUUGGGGCCACUGCGAGGCCGUUUUAGAAAACUGUUUAAAACAAAGAGCAAUUGAUGGAUAAAUCAGGAAUAGAUUCUCUUGACCAUGUGACAUCUGAUGCUGUGGAACUUGCAAAUCGAAGCAAGCUGUUGCAAGAGGAUUUUUUAACUAUAUUGAAAAACUGAAGUAUGAACACCACCUGAAAGAAUCAUUGAAGCAAAUGAAU
rnacentral:lncRNA from 1 species